rnacentral:ncRNA from 1 species
AAGAGCCCGGUGCGGGAAACCCGCACGCCGGGUUCUGUGGGGGUUCGGGCCACCAGGGGUGGAAAACGUAAAACGAACGCCGCAGCCCCGCUUUACGAUGGCGCGAGAAAUUGCGAGGCAUUCAACUAGCCAAU